rnacentral:rRNA from 1 species
UAAUACUCCAUAGAUUAGAGACACUGGAAUGUUCUUUAGUCGAAAGUUCUGGCGCCUUAGGAUGGAUCUGCGGUCGAUUAGGUUGUUGUUGGGGUAACGGCCCAACAAGCCUGUAAUCGAUACGGGUUGUGGGAGCAAGAGCCCGGAGAUGGAAUCUGAGACACGAUUCCAGGCCCUACGGGGCGCAGCAGGCGCGAAAACUUUACAAUGCAGGAAACUGUGAUAAGGGAACUCCGAGUGCCCGUAUACGCGGGCUGUCCAGGUGUUUAAAAAUCAUCUGAAGAAAGGGCCGGGCAAGACCGGUGCCAGCCGCCGCGGUAAUACCGGCGGCUCGAGUGGUGGCCACUAUUAUUGGGCUUAAAGCGUCCGUAGCUGGACCGAUAAGUCUCUUGGGAAAUCCGCCGGCUCAACCGGCGGGCGUCUAAGGGAUACUGUUAGUCUAGGGACCGGGAGAGGUGAGAGGUACUCCGGGGGUAGGAGUGAAAUCCUGUAAUCCCCGGGGGACCACCGAUGGCGAAGGCAUCUCACCAGAACGGCUCCGACAGUGAGGGACGAAAGCUGGGGGAGCGAACCGGAUUAGAUACCCGGUAGUCCCAGCCGUAAAGAUGCGCGUUAGGUGU